CGGCCGUAACUAUAACGGUCCUAAGGUAGCGAAAUUCCUUGUCGGGUAAGUUCCGACCUGCACGAAUGGCGUAAUGAUGGCCAGGCUGUCUCCACCCGAGACUCAGUGAAAUUGAACUCGCUGUGAAGAUGCAGUGUACCCGCGGCAAGACGGAAAGACCCCGUGAACCUUUACUAUAGCUUGACACUGAACAUUGAGCCUUGAUGUGUAGGAUAGGUGGGAGGCUUUGAAGCGUGGACGCCAGUCUGCGUGGAGCCAACCUUGAAAUACCACCCUUUAAUGUUUGAUGUUCUAACGUUGGCCCCUUACCGGGGUUGCGGACAGUGUCUGGUGGGUAGUUUGACUGGGGCGGUCUCCUCCCAAAGCGUAACGGAGGAGCACGAAGGUUAGCUAAUCCUGGUCGGACAUCAGGAGGUUAGUGCAAUGGCAUAAGCUAGCUUGACUGCGAGCGUGACGGCGCGAGCAGGUGCGAAAGCAGGUCAUAGUGAUCCGGUGGUUCUGAAUGGAAGGGCCAUCGCUCAACGGAUAAAAGGUACUCCGGGGAUAACAGGCUGAUACCGCCCAAGAGUUCAUAUCGACGGCGGUGUUUGGCACCUCGAUGUCGGCUCAUCACAUCCUGGGGCUGAAGUAGGUCCCAAGGGUAUGGCUGUUCGCCAUUUAAAGUGGUACGCGAGCUGGGUUUAGAACGUCGUGAGACAGUUCGGUCCCUAUCUGCCGUGGGCGCUGGAGAAUUGAGGGGGGCUGCUCCUAGUACGAGAGGACCGGAGUGGACGCAUCACUGGUGUUCGGGUUGUCAUGCCAAUGGCACUGCCCGGUAGCUAAAUGCGGAAGAGAUAAGUGCUGAAAGCAUCUAAGCACGAAACUUGCCCCGAGAUGAGUUCUCCCUGAGACUAUAAGUCUCCUGAAGGAACGUUAAAGACGAUGACGUUGAUAGGCCGGGUGUGUAAGCGCAGCGAUGCGUUGAGCUAACCGGUACUAAUGAACCGUGAGGCUUAACCUU
rnacentral:rRNA from 1 species